rnacentral:lncRNA from 1 species
UGGUUUUUAAGCUUAAAAGGAGCGUCCUUGAAAUUCUCCUUGCAAUUGUUCGGGGAUCCGGAGCAGACUAUGUUCCAGGUCAGUGAGUGGCAGGUGUGCUUCAAGGCUUGAUUCGAUAAUACGUGAGUUGUCUGGAAGACAAUUUAAGAAGUCCUGGACGUUGCUUUAACUACAAGAAAAAAAAUAAAAGUUGUCACCAGGAACCUGUCAUUCUGGCCUCACUGAUUCCUGGGUUGGAUGUCGUCUACUGUCACUCAGAAAGAAGGCUCUCUGGGCUCAGCCUGCAGGGCGGGUCUGCAGCCCGGUGCAGCGGAGAGCACUUGGGGAGAACCGUCCAAUCCCGACUCAGCCAGCGAGGACAAGGGCGGCUUCCGUGAUCUGGCCGGGCCCUUUCCUUCUGAACCGCCCUUCUCGCUAUCUGGCUCUAGGCUUCUGUCUCCAGUCCUGGGGUCCCGCUGGCUUUGUCCUGCAGGUGCUGGAGAUCCCUGGUGGCCGCCUGACUCCCGAGCGCAAGGAAAUGGUGAGUGUGGCGGGGCCUCUUGAGCCCGGGGAGGGAGGUCGUUGGAACCGCGGGACUGGCUACGGUGGGGCCAGGAGCUGCUGGGGACUCCGGGGUCCGCGGCCUGAGCCCUCCUCCUGGCAGUGUCCCCUCAGGCCCCUGGCCAGCCAGGUGGGGAGCGUGUUGGCAGCAGAGCUCCUGCCCAGCCUGCUGCACCCGCUCAGCUAGCCCUAGAGAGUCAGCAGCCCGGUCUUCCCAGGUGGGUGGUGAUUGACAGGCGGGAUGGCGGUUGGAGAAGUCUCUCCACGUGGGAUUUUCCUGCAGGAGAGGAGCAGUGGCUCUGGGCUUCCCUGCCGCCGUCUUCCUAAGCUAGCUGGCUUUCUUGCUUUUUCUCCCUCCUUCCCAACCUUCCUUCCGCAGGGUGCUUUACCAGGAGCUCCAUCCCUGGUUCUGAUGUAGGGCGGAGGGGGCGGCACCUGAGGAAUUCGCGGGCAGCAGGUUUACUUAAAGUUGCAGCCGUCCAGAUGGAGCAACGCGGGGACCCUGGUAGGGAACUUCUCUGAGAUUUAUAGUCAGUGCGUGGUUACAGGGCAGCUACUUUUUUUUCCCCAUAAUUUUAGGAUAUAGAGAGGUUUCACAGGUUAUUAUUUUACCAAGGAAAACAAAAGUAAUAACAUGUACAGCAAGCUCUCUUGAGACAGAGUUUGUUACAUUUG